UGAGGCAGGAGAAUCUCUUGAACCCAGGAAGUGGAGGCUGCAGUGAGCCGAGAUCGAGCCACUGCACUCCAGCCUGGGUGACAGAGCGAGACUCCAGUCUC
rnacentral:miRNA from 10 species